rnacentral:rRNA from 1 species
AGAAACCACAGGGAUUGCCCCAGUAACGGCGAGUGAAGCGGCAAGAGCUCAAAUUUGGAAUCUGGCCCCUUUUAGGGACCCGAGUUGUAAUUUGUAGAGGGCGCUUUGGCGAUAGGCUGCGGCCCAAGUUCCUUGGAACAGGACGUCGUAGAGGGUGAGAGUCCCGUACGCGGCCGCGCGCCUUCGCCUUGUAAAGCCCCUUCGACGAGUCGAGUUGUUUGGGAAUGCAGCUCUAAGUGGGAGGUAAAUCUCUUCUAAAGCUAAAUAACGGCCAGAGACCGAUAGCGCACAAGUAGAGUGAUCGAAAGAUGAAAAGCACUUUGGAAAGAGAGUCAAAAAGCACGUGAAAUUGUUGAAAGGGAAGCGCUUGCGGCCAGACAUGCCCGCGGUCGCUCAUCCGGACCCCCCCAAUUGUCCGGUGCAGUCUCCCGUGAGCAGGCCAGCAUCGGUCUGGGCGGUUGGACAAAGGCCCCGGGAAUGUAGCUCCCCCCCGGGGGAGUGUUAUAGCCCGGGGCGCAAUGCAGCCAGCCGAGACCGAGGCCCGCGCGUCGUGCUACGAUGCUGGCGUAAUGGCCGCAAGCGGCCCGUCUUGAAACACGGACCAAGGAGUCUAACAUCCAUGCGAGUGUUUGGGUGUCAAGCCCGAGCGCGCAGUGAGAGCGAAUGGAGGUGGGAACCCCCCCCCGGGGGCGCACCAUCGACCGAUCCUGAUGUCCUCGGAUGGAUUUGAGUAAGAGCAUGGCUGUUGGGACCCGAAAGAUGGUGAACUAUGCCUGGAUAGGGUGAAGCCAGAGGAAACUCUGGUGGAGGCUCGCAGCGGUUCUGACGUGCAAAUCGAUCGUCAAAUCUGGGCAUAGGGGCGAAAGACUAAUCGAACUAUCUAAUAGCUGGGUCCAUGCCGAGUCCC